GGAUAGCUAGCUCAGCUGGUUAGUGCGUGGUGCUAAUAACACCAAUGUCAUGGGUUCAAGCUGUAUGCUGGCCA
rnacentral:tRNA from 1 species